rnacentral:rRNA from 1 species
CCCUUAGAUGUUCUGGGCCGCACGCGCGCUACACUGACUGACUCAACGAGUGUACAACCUGCUUCGACAGAAGUGGGUAAUCUUUUGAAAUUCAGUCGUGAUGGGGCUAGAUUAUUGCAACUAUUAGUCUUCAACGAGGAAUUCCUAGUAAACGCAAGUCAUCAACUUGCAUUGAUUACGUCCCUGCCCUUUGUACACACCGCCCGUCGCACCUACCGAUUGAAUGGUCCGGUGAAGCCUCCGGAUUGGCGCGCACCUCGGUGCCGCCGAGAAGUUGGCUAAACCUUACCAUUUAGAGGAAGGUGAAGUCGUANCA